UGUAAACAUCCUACACUCUCAGCUGUGACAUGCUGGAGCUGGGAGAGAGGUGUUUACG
rnacentral:pre_miRNA from 1 species